rnacentral:rRNA from 1 species
AUGAACGCUGGCGGCGUGCCUAACACAUGCAAGUCGAACGAAUUACUUUAAAGGAAGUUUUCGGAUGGAAUUUAAAGUAGUUAGUGGCGGACGGGUGAGUAACGCGUGGGAAACCUGCCCUAUACAGGGGGAUAGCCUCGGGAAACUGGGAUUAAUACCCCAUAAAACUCUAGUAUCGCAUGAUACAUGAGCCAAAGAUUUAUCGGUAUAGGAUGGUCCCGCGUCUGAUUAGCUAGUUGGUGAGGUAACGGCUCACCAAGGCGACGAUCAGUAGCCGGCCUGAGAGGGUGAACGGCCACACUGGAACUGAGACACGGUCCAGACUCCUACGGGAGGCAGCAGUGGGGAAUAUUGCGCAAUGGGGGCAACCCUGACGCAGCAACGCCGCGUGAGUGAGGAAGGUUUUCGGACUGUAAAGCUCUGUCGAGCGGGAAGAAGUGUACCAUGGCUAAUAUCCAUGAUAUUUGACGGUACCGCUAGAGGAAGCACCGGCUAACUCCGUG